UAUUUUGCGAUGAAGAAGAAGAGUAGGCAUGGGAAGACUGAAGAGAGCUGAUGGCUGGUGGGAAUCAGUGUUGGAACAUGUUGAAUGGGCUUUAGAGCAUCCAGGCUGAAACAAUAGGCCAGCGGAGAGGUUCUACCGUUAAAAGGAACAUAAAGAGCAGUUGUAAUCGCUCUUUUUAAAGAUUAUCCUGUUUUUAGGAUAAAUGAAGGUGGCACCGCGGGGUUUCUCGUCCUUUUU
rnacentral:ncRNA from 1 species